UCUCCGUUGGUGAACCAGCGGAGGGAUCAUUACAGAGUUCCACAACUCCCAACCCCUGCGAACCGUACCCCAGUUUGUUCUCGUUGCCUCCUGGCGGCGGGCCCCCGCCGCCACCGCCGGGGCCCCCGCCACCGGCGGCGACCCCCCUUAAACUUUUUUUCUCAACCAGCCCUUCUGAGCAAACGAACAAAUGAAUCAAAACUUUCAACAACGGAUCUCUUGGUUCUG
rnacentral:misc_RNA from 1 species